rnacentral:rRNA from 1 species
AGCUCCAAUAGCGUAUAUUAAAGUUGUUGCGGUAAAAAAGCUCGUAGUUGGAUUUCUGUUGAAAACAACCGGUCUACUCAACGAGUACGCAUCUGGUUUGGUUUCGGCAUCCUCUCGCUAGACGACUCUGCGCUUGAUUGCGUGGAUCGGAUAACGGGACUUUUACUUUGAGGAAAUUAGAGUGUUCACGGCAGGCUAUCGCCAGGAUACAUUAGCAUGGAAUAAUACUAUAGGAUCUUGAUCCUAUUUUGUUGGUUUCUAGGAGCAAGAUAAUGAUUAAUAGGGACAAUUGGGGGCAUUCGUAUCAACACGUCAGAGGUGGAAUUCUUGGAUUGUGUUGCGACGAACUACUGCGAAAGCAUUUGCCAAGGAUGUUUUCA